UACGUAGGGUGCGAGCGUUAAUCGGAAUUACUGGGCGUAAAGCGUGCGCAGGCGGUGAGCUGUGUCCGAUGUGAAAGCCCCGGGCUUAACCUGGGAAUGGCAUUGGAAACUGGCUCGCUGGAGUGUGGCAGAGGGGGGUGGAAUUCCGCGUGUAGCAGUGAAAUGCGUAGAGAUGCGGAGGAACACCGAUGGCGAAGGCAGCCCCCUGGGCUAACACUGACGCUCAGGCACGAAAGCGUGUGGAGCAAACAGG
rnacentral:rRNA from 1 species